CUGUGGAUAUUACCAAAAUCCUGCCUUAUGUUUGCACAAUUGAUAGUUUCUAACCUCAGAGGCUCGGCAGGUAAUAAGUACACCACAGGAUAUGCAAAUGCAUUCUCUAUAUAUUCGCUCAUUCAUGUUUUACAUCUUACUCUCAUGCUGGCAUCCAUUAUUCUUAUAUGCAUGUGGUUUCCUCAACCUGAAGUUAAAUACAAGUUGGUCACUGAACAAGCUUAUAUCACUCAAAACAUACUUGUGCAAAGGAGCUGGAUUUGUUUAAUUAGUAGCAUUAAGACCAAAUGUUGAAUUAGGGUUGGCAGAACGUAAUAUUAAUACUGUUUAGACUUAUGUAACCUGCAGAAACAUGCCCUGGAUCGAACAUAGUGGCGUAUAUAACCUCCAUUAUGUAUGUUGUAAUGCCUGUCUCCACUCACCAUGAGAAUGUCAGUAUUAAAUAGGCAAUUUGGGGUCCUUGCUGAUAGUCACUGAUUAUAGUUGGUAAUGGCAGCUGAUGAAGGUAUACAGAAUGAUCAACUCAAGAUGCCGAAUUCGGUUCAUGGUUCAGGCCUCAGGGUCGGCGGUCGCUAAGAAAUACAAAUAUGUUCAUCAUUUCUUUCAAUAGUGUCCCGACAGUGGUAGAUAAAUAAGAUUGAUAGGUUCUUUCUGUUGAUAUUUGUGCCUUUCCUGAGGUAGCACCAUCUGACCACAAGGUGGCCAUAGGACAUGUUUUUGGUUUUGUCACUGGCAGCAACAUCAAAUCAAAUAAUUUCCCUUGGCUAGCACUGGUAAUUGAAGCUCAAGAUGCCAAUGCUUUGGGGGAUGCUUAAUUAAAUGUCGAGCUCGUGGAUUCAGAGAACAGAUUAGGCUUUAGUUCGGUUCAGAUUCAGUAAUUUCAUAUUAUCACCCACGUCCAACGAACAGCACAAAGAGGGCAUGGAUGUACUAUGCAAAUGCGGUUGGCUGGCAGUUGGCUUACCUCGGCAUCUUUGCCGCCGACCAGGAGACUACUCCGCAGCGGCCACGGCGAGAGAGGGGUGUAACUUGGCCAUCUAGGGAGUCCUCAGUGGGGCCGAGUGCUGACUUUUAACAACAAAUAACCAUUAAUUUUGCUCGGUUCAUGGAAAAAUUAGCACUAAAUCCCUGUAUCCGCCACUUGUCAAACAUCCCUCUUAUGAUAAUCUGAACAACGCAGCCAAAGCAAUCCUUCGGAUCACGUAGACUUUGUGGUCGACACAGUACUAAUUCAUUGAAUGAAUUUGUACAUAACUUAACAUCUUCCCCCAGUAUUUCCCUUAUCUUUUUUAGUAUCUUACACACUGAAUUAUAGGUUGGUCCGAUCUUUUGUAUGGGGCAGGCUUCAGGCCAACGGAAGAUGAUUUACCGGGUGACUGCCGCUACAGGUCUUCGGGGCUCCGUGUGCCACCUGGGACAUUUUGUAUGAAUUUUGGAGGUAUACAAUUCCAUUAUCUACAAAUUAAUUCCUUGCUUGCAUAUACAUCACUAAUUAACUUAUAGAUGGUUUAUUCAUUUUCAGAUUCUCUGGUUGUUGAACAUAUACCAACUCCUCUUUUUUUUAAUCCAGUAUGAUUCUUGAUCCUACAAAAUUGCAAGUUAUUGCAGCUUUUCAUGGUGUGGUCUCUGGUGUCACUUACUAAGCUUGACUGCAGUAUGCACCUUUUAGAGUUUGCUGAUGAGGUAUGCAACCAUUUGAGAUUUGGGUAUAAGCCUUCUAUACCAAUAGGUGUUCCCCCUUUCUGAUCUGGUGGUGGCCUAUAUAGAUUGUGCUAGAUUCAAGGUCACUGCCCACUAAGAAUUCUUAUUCAUCUUUGCUUCUAGGUCUAUGGGACAAAAUUGCUGAAUGAUUUUGGAAUCCCCAGAGUUUACGUCCCCACGGUGAGGUUAGUAAUUGGAAUCCACACUUUCUGCGAACUCGGUUUGCUCUUUUCCUUUAAAGAUUAGUACUGCUGCAUAAUGUUGUAUUUUUUUAUUGUUGAGGCUAAAGAAUACCACUUAUACAUGUACAUGAUUGUACACCUCCUAUACCUUCUAAAUUGUGUGUUUAUUUGGUUAAUCAAGAAGCAUCUAAUUACAUGUGUGGGUAUGUUGAAAAUAUGUAAAACCCCUCUUCUUCUCGAUACUCUACUUUUCUUUUGCAAACACAUCUAUGCCUGCACAUCUAUGCAUGCUAUUCACUACUACAGCUACGUUGGUGCUGCGGUUUAGAACUAUAUUGCCUAAUACAUGUUUAUGGGUUAUCAUCAAUACUAUUGAUCAUCUUUGGCUUUGGACACUUUGUUAAUCUUUGCACUUCCUCUCUACCUCUUGAUGUGCAUCAUGGCGUGAUAUGCACUUCUCACUUAUGUAUUUUUCUUUCCGUUCUAUGUUGCAGUUCUGGUCAAACCAAUAUCUUAGUAUGCAUGUUAGCGAGUUCAUUUCUCGCAUGGAGAAGGUCUCUCUCUCUUUUAAAUUGUCAAGUUUGUUCUUGUAUUCGGAUGCUAUAAUUUAUCCUAUCCCUGUUUAGAUUUAUUUUUGUGUAUGCUAAAUUCUUUCUUUAACUUAUAUUACAGGGACCUCUGUUGUUUACCGAAUGCAUAUUUUUUGCAGUGUUUGUUUGGAAUUCUCAUGGUGCAUCUGCCUAGCUUGGAUUCCUUUCGAGUUUACACUCCAAUCAGUUGGUUUUUAGUAUAUCUGCAUGUACCUAGGUUGUAGCAGCACCAACGUGUUGGAAAUAUGCCCUAGAGGCAAUAAUAAAUGGUUAUUAU
rnacentral:lncRNA from 1 species